rnacentral:rRNA from 1 species
UGGGGAAUUUUGGACAAUGGGCGCAAGCCUGAUCCAGCCAUGCCGCGUGCAGGAAGAAGGUCUUCGGGUUGUAAACUGCUUUUGUACGGAGCGAAAAGCCCCUGGCGAAUAACCGGGGGUCAUGACGGUACCGUAAGAAUAAGCACCGGCUAACUACGUGCCAGCAGCCGCGGUAAUACGUAGGGUGCAAGCGUUAAUCGGAAUUACUGGGCGUAAAGCGUGCGCAGGCGGUUUUGUAAGACAGAGGUGAAAUCCCCGGGCUCAACCUGGGAACUGCCUUUGUGACUGCAAAGCUGGAGUGCGGCAGAGGGGGAUGGAAUUCCGCGUGUAGCAGUGAAAUGCGUAGAUAUGCGGAGGAACACCGAUGGCGAAGGCAAUCCCCUGGGCCUGCACUGACGCUCAUGCACGAAAGCGUGGGGAGCAAACA